rnacentral:rRNA from 1 species
UACGAGGGGGGCGAGCGUUGUUCGGAAUUAUUGGGCGUAAAGGUGCGUAGGCGGUUUGGUAAGUCUGAUGUGAAAUCUAUGGGCUCAACUCAUAGUCUGCAUCGGAAACUGCCGGGCUUGAGUAUGGGAGAGGUGAGUGGAAUUCCUGGUGUAGCGGUGAAAUGCGUAGAUAUCAGGAGGAACACCUGUGGCGAAAGCGGCUCACUGGACCAUAACUGACGCUGAUGCACGAAAGCUAGGGGAGCAAACAGG